rnacentral:rRNA from 1 species
AUUGAACGCUGGCGGCAGGCCUAACACAUGCAAGUCGAACGAGUGGCGGACGGGUGAGUAAUGUCUGGGAAACUGCCUGAUGGAGGGGGAUAACUACUGGAAACGGUAGCUAAUACCGCAUACCAUCGGAUGUGCCCAGAUGGGAUUAUCGAGUAGGUGGGGUAAAGGCGCACCUAGGCGACGCUCCCUAGCUGGGCGGAGAGGAUGACCGGCCACACUGGAACUGAGACACGGCCCAGACUCCUACGGGAGGCAGCAGUGGGGAAUAUUGCACAAUGGGCGCAAGCCGGAUGCAGCCAUGCCGCGUGUAUGAAGAAGGCCUUCGGGUUGUAAAGUACUUUCAUCGGGGAGGCGGUACCCGAAGAAGAAGCACCGGCUAACUCCGUGCCAGCAGCCGCGGUAAUUC